rnacentral:rRNA from 1 species
CAGAACGGUGGGCACGGAGCGGGGGUGAUAGGGAGUGGGAUAGCGUUAAUCGGAAUUACGGGGAGUAAAGCGUGCGUAGGUGGUUAGGUAAGUCUGAUGUGAAAGCCCUGGGCUCGACCUGGGAAUUGCAUUGGAUACUGGCAGGCUAGAGUGCGGUAGAGGGUAGUGGAAUUCCCGGUGUAGCAGUGAAAUGCGUAGAGAUCGGGAGGAACAUCCGUGGCGAAGGCGACUACCUGGACCAGCACUGACACUGAGGCACGAAAGCGUGGGGAGCAAACAGGAUUAGAUACCCGAGUAGUC